GACGAACGCUGGCGGCGUGCUUAACACAUGCAAGUCGAACGGAAAGGCCCUGCUUUUGUGGGGUGCUCGAGUGGCGAACGGGUGAGUAACACGUGAGUAACCUGCCCUCGACUUUGGGAUAACUUCAGGAAACUGGGGCUAAUACCGGAUAGGUGCUCCUGCUGCAUGGUGGGGGUUGGAAAGUUUCGGCGGUUGGGGAUGGACUCGCGGCUUAUCAGCUUGUUGGUGGGGUAGUGGCUUACCAAGGCUUUGACGGGUAGCCGGCCUGAGAGGGUGACCGGCCACAUUGGGACUGAUGUACGGCCCAGACUCCUACGGGAGGCAGCAGUGGGGAAUAGUGCACAAUGGGCGGAAGCCUGAUGCAGCAACGCCGCGUGCGGGAUGACGGCCUUCGGGUUGUAAACCGCUUUCGCCUGUGACGAAGCGUGAGUGACGGUAAUGGGUAAAGAAGCACCGGCUAACUACGUG
rnacentral:rRNA from 1 species